GAUGUUAAAUUGCUAAUGCAUGCUCAUUAAUUGUUGCAGAAUGGGUGCUUAUCAUCUUUGUCAAGGAAGCUUACAACAAUGUCAUUCAAUCCCUUGCAUUAUUCAAGCUUGUCAUUGACACUAGUUCAAAUUUUUGAACUCACCAACUCACAAGCACAUUUUGUUGUACUAACCUUGUAUAGUCCUUACUACUACACAAUGCUAUUAUUGCAUCAAUAUUCUUCUUGGCCACCAAAACUGGGUGCCAAAUUGCUCUACUUCUUACUUAACCCAAUAUCAUUCAUCAUCAUUUGGACUGCUAGUUGGAGUUGGUAUCAAAGUUGACAAAAUCAUUUUGUUGUAUACCAAUAAUUAUCAAGUGCCAUUAACACAAAUCAUAUAACUCUAACAGUUUCUACAUCAUUGAAGCCUUGGCUCAGCAGUUCUUAGUAGUAGUGUUUUAAAAAACUACUUAUGCCGGCCGGUCGGACCGGUUAGACUGGAUACCGGAGGUUGCCGGUGGUCUCAUCAAUACGAUUCAAAAUCCGACAUUUAAAACAAUUGCUUACCACACCUCGUAAUUAGCAUAAUUAGCUAGCAUAUGAGAGCUUUGGGCCCCCUACAUCCAAACCCAACAGAUCUAAUAAGGGCAAAAGCCCACUAGAGAGGUCUUCCAAAAAAAGCUCAAUAAUACAUUAAGGGCCAAAAGCCCACUACAAGGGUCUUAAAAAGUAGAGCCCAAUAAUAUAUUAAGGGCCACACAUGUUGGGCUAACGUGUUAGGCCUUAGGCCCGUAGUAUAUAUAUACCUUGGGCAUCCCAAAAAAUUCAAAAUACUCGUGUUCGGGAAAUUCAGUGAUGUUUUCCCUCGCUUUGUACAAACAACGAAAGAUGUGCGAAGGCCCUUGCGCCGAUAGUCUGGAGUUUUCAAUUCGGAAGCAACUCUAUUCAGCGAAGGUGAAGUGCAUUGAAGACCUAACACCAUGAAAUCUUGUGUUGAUUUUGAGCGACAAAAGAUUUAUACAGGGGAUGAUUUUGUCAAUUGCUCUCUUGGAUGGUCUGGUAAUGAACAUGGCUCACUAGUCAGGAGAGAAGCAGCAGUGGCGGCAUUGUGCAUUUAUCCUUUCUUUUUCAUGCCUGUUAAAUGUUAACUGUUGUCUAUAUGUGCGAAUCUGUGAUCUCACUUAUUCUAGAGGAAGCAUGUUAUGCCUGUUAAAUCUGAACUGUUAUAUAUAUGUGCGAAUCUGUGAUCUCACUUAUUCUAGAGGAAGCACGUUAUAUUUCUGAAUGGAAGCACAUAUCAAAGUGGAUCUGCUUCUUCUGCUGGACUAUUAUGUAUUUAUGCAUUUAGAUCCAAUAAUGUGAACAAUUAUUUUGUUAUUCCAUGCCAAACUAAUACUCUUGCGAUCUAGCAUCUGAUAUGGUGGCUAUGGUACCAUAGUUAGAGUCUUAAAUUAACAGAGUUGGAGCACUAGAUGAUUUUGUUGUUGAUUUAAAUCAUAUUCCUCGUACGACUGAUUGUUCACAAGACUAGUAUCUUCUCUAUAGUAAAAUGCUGGAAUGACUACCUCAUCUUAAUACAUCAGUAUAGCAGCAUCGGAAAAAAAAAAGGUAUGAACUCCAAACUAAGCUUUCACCAAAGGAUCAGCUACAGGAAUGGUGUCACUAUUUAGUUGUCCUCUCACUGGUCACGACCUAAUUGCUUUGUUUAUUAGUCCAUUUCCUUGUCCUUGUUACACUUUUAUCUUUAAAUAAUUUCUCCACUUUAGUUGUAGUCAUGAGAAAAAAGAGGCUGAUUAAUUUAGACUAAUCAGAUAAGGAUGUGUCCCACCAAAUAGACAAGGAGAGACUAAUUAGGAUACUCAACAGCUCAACAGCAACUAGGGAAAAAGAAAGCAUGUCUCUUCAGCAAACAAAGAAGUAAAUUGUUGCUGUAAUGAAAGAGAGUGCUGAGAAGAUCACAUUACCAAAAGGGUUUAUGGAUCCUCCAAUAGAAAUGACCUUAUCUCCUGC